rnacentral:rRNA from 1 species
CUACGGGUCGCAGCAGUGAGGAAUAUUGCACAAUGGGGGGAACCCUGAUGCAGCAACGCCGCGUGGAGGAUGACGCAUUUCGGUGUGUAAACUCCUUUUAUAUGUCAAGAAAAUGACGGUAGCAUAUGAAUAAGCACCGGCUAACUCCGUGCCAGCAGCCGCGGUAAUACGGAGGGUGCAAGCGUUACUCGGAAUCACUGGGCGUAAAGGACGCGUAGGCGGGCUUGUAAGUCAGGUGUGAAAUCCUACAGCUUAACUGUAGAACUGCACUUGAAACUACGAGCCUAGAGUAUGGGAGGGGAAGAUGGAAUUAGUGGUGUAGGGGUAAAAUCCGUAGAUAUCACUAGGAAUACCUAAAGCGAAGGCGAUCUUCUGGAACAUAACUGACGCUAAGGCGUGAAAGCGUGGGGAGCAAACAGGAUUAGAUACCCCGGUAGUC